CAGCCGCCGCGGUAAUACCAGCACCUCGAGUGGUCAGGAGGUUUAUUGGGCCUAAAGCAUCCGUAGCCGGUUGCAUAAGUUUUCGGUUAAAUCUAUGCGCUUAACGUAUAGGCCGCCGAAAAUACUGUGCAGCUAGGGAGUGGGAGAGGUACACGGUACUCGAUAGGAAGGGGUAAGAUCCUUUGAUCUAUUGAUGACCACCUGUGGCGAAGGCGGUAUACCAGAACACGUUCGACGGUGAGGGAUGAAAGCUGGGGGAGCAAACCGGACUAGAUACCCCCGUAGUCCCUGUCUCUUAUAC
rnacentral:rRNA from 1 species